GCGAUACCUGGCUCCUGGGGUUUUCCCCAAAGCAGAGCCGCCACCGUGAUGACUUGCCGGGAAGCCUUCAAGGAGUCACUACUCCCAGACAGGUGGUUUGGGACAAUGUUCCCAGCAGCUGCUGAGACCACUUUUGGGGGGAGAGUCUCCCUGUCUCUCCCCUGCGCAGCACUGGCGGCAGUGUAUGCUUCUCCUUGGUGGAAUGGAAUCAUGCCUCUGGACAAGCUGACAAGCCCCGUGACCCAUCUCCUGAAGGAUGUGAUGAUUAAAAGUAAAAUGGAAUCAAACUGCAUGAAUAAUUGGAAAACUAAAUCAUCACUUUCUGAGUGGGAUGCAGAAGUGACUCGAGGUCAGGAGCUUGUUCUCCUGUCUCCACAAUGGCUCCCUGUUGAGAAAAUACUCGGUGUCCCAGAGGCAGAGUGGAGAGAGGAACAGGUGUGCUGGCAAGGACAGAAUGCCACGCAGGAUCCAUGGGGAGACUUUCUGCAGGCCAGCUUCCAGUCUGUUCCCGGUGUCGUUCGUCUUCGAACAAGCUCACGCUCUAUUUGUGGCAGGUGGCAGAAGCACAAGAAGCCCAGCUACAGGGAAGCACGGUUAAAGCCUCUGCUCACGUCAUCUUUGCUCACAUCCUAUUGGCCAGAGCAAGUCACAUGGCCAACAUCAACUGGACCAGGAUGUAAAUUUCUCCCACGGAAGUUGAGAGAAGCCAGGACAAGGGCCAGGAAGGAAGGUAGAGUUGUGGACAAACCCUAUAAUCUAUCACAGACUCACAUUUUAGAAAUAUUGCCUUUAGGAAAGGAAUCAUUUAUAUUCCCAUCUCUCCCUUUAAAAAGUAUAGAAUCUCCCAUCCACGGGGUAACUAAAUCUAUGCAUUUAAUUCUCUUCUCCCAUUUCUUUUUUUUUUUUUUUAAUUUGGCUGUGCCAGGUCUUAGUUGUGGCAUGUCAACUCUUAGUUUCGGCAUGUGGGGCUUAAUUUCCUGACAAGAGAUCAAAACUGUAUUGGGAGUGCAGAAUACUCCCCUGUAUUGGGAGUGCAGAAUCUUAGCCAUUGGACUACCAGGGAAGUCCCUCUUCUUCCAUUUUGAAGUCUCCAUCAAAGUAGCUAAUUGAGCUUAGGGUCAAAAAUUCUAAAUUGCAACAGGAAACCAGAAGAGGAGCAAACACAGGCCUAAAACUUAAAAACUGGAAAAUCACAGACAAAGGGAACCCUGGAAGCAGUGCUAGCCUUUCCACUGUCUGCUAAAUGGGCUUUUAAGAAAAACCCAACUGGAAAUGAAGUGAUGGGAUCCCAGGAAACCCCCUGCCAGCGCCCAAUGGAAUAGGGUUCUUGGCUGGGUGACCUCACUCUCUGCAGAGCUCACCCUUGCACUGAGCCUGUGGGAAGCAAGCUCAGGUACACGGGCCUUGCUGAGAAAGGCUCCUGCGUGGGCAGGUGGGCUGAUCAGUGAGCAGAGCCAGACCCUGUAGCUUUGGUCAGCCGACGUGGGCAUGGCAGGGAAACGCCCCCCACACAGCAGGCACUCCCGAAGCAGGGGUCUCCCACCAUGGAGAGGGACCUGCUGCAGGGUUCAGUCCCCUCUGUAAGGAUGAGCAGUCAGGAUAAUGACGAGAUGUACAGAACGACUCCACAGUUUAAAAGAAGCAGCCCACAGUGAUCAAAACAGGGUGAUUCUGACACGUGGGUUAAUACAUGAAUGAACUGGAAUACAGGUGGUCCCUGGCUUCCGGUGGUUCAUCAUGGCUUCUCGACUCCACGGUGUGGCACAGAGAAGUACUUUGGGUUAGAAAGUUGGUUUUUUACUUCAGAUUUUGAAUUGUGAUCUUUUCUGAGCUAGUCCUCUGUAAUAGGUCCUCUCUCGUGAUGCUGGGCAGAGGAAGCUCCCAUUCAGCCACAUAAUGAUGAGGGUAAACAAAAGAUAACACUUAAAAGCAUUCCAUUCCGUGUUUCACUUUCAGUACAGAAUUCCAUAAAUUACGUGAGAUAUUCGACACUUUAUUAUGAAUA
ensembl:lncRNA